rnacentral:rRNA from 1 species
UACGAAGGGGGCUAGCGUUGCUCGGAAUCACUGGGCGUAAAGGGUGCGUAGGCGGGUCCUUAAGUCAGGGGUGAAAUCCUGGAGCUCAACUCCAGAACUGCCUUUGAUACUGAGGAUCUUGAGUCCGGGAGAGGUGAGUGGAACUGCGAGUGUAGAGGUGAAAUUCGUAGAUAUUCGCAAGAACACCAGUGGCGAAGGCGGCUCACUGGCCCGGUACUGACGCUGAGGCACGAAAGCGUGGGGAGCAAACAGG